UUGGAUAUGGUGUAACGGCUAACAUUGCCGCCUCUCAUGAGUCUGGUUGAAAAGACCACGCGGCAGCUCGGGGUUCGAUUCCCCGUAUCCGAA
rnacentral:tRNA from 1 species